rnacentral:ncRNA from 1 species
AAAAGAGCCCUUUUCAGGGCUACCAAUUUAUUAUUAUAAUACUUUU